GAGAGAGAAGGAAAGGGAGAGAGAGGGAGAGAGAGAGAGACAGACAGCUCCUCAGCCAAUCACACAGGAGGACGCCUUCCCGAGCAAAUCCCUCGUCACCGCUGGCUGCGCUUCCUCCCGUUCUGACCGGACGGGCGGCCUCUGGACCUCCUCCUCCCCUCCGGCGGGCCCCUCCUUCCUGCUCCGCGUGCUGCGUGCGGCGCUGCCGGUUCACCUCCUCCUGCUGCUGAUCCUCGGCCUCGCCUGCCUCGUGCCCAUGAGCCAGGAGGACUACAGCUGCCACCACGCCAACAACUUCGCCCGCUCCUUCCAUCCCAUGCUGAGCUACACCAACGGACCUCCGCCUAUAUGAGGCGCCUCCCCCAUCAAGGACCCCGAAGUCACCUGUACCGGGACCACACCCCCUCUAUGAGGACCGCCCCCCACGACCAUAUAUGGACCAGACAUCCGCCCAGUCCAUCGUGGCCUCUGUUCCGUGUGAGGACCGGACAGCCGCCCGUGUACGGGCAGAACUCUCCGCCCGUAUAAGGACUGUCCCUCCGCAGCUAGCUACCAGCUUUGCCAAGGACUCCGACACUCUGACUAGUAUGAAUGUUCCCUGUUCUUUCCCUGCAGGACCCCCGACUCCCACUCUCCCGACCCCAACUCCACGACCCCACCUCCCCUCCACCCCCACGCUGGGAGCAUAUGAAAUCCGAUGGAGUGUCUCCACCAGUAACACAAUGAGAACCAGUCCAUUAGAGCGUUCUGGGGCCAGUUGACUGAGGCCCUAGCGUCUCCAGGGUGAAGGGACUCAAGCCUCCUCCAUCCGAAUAAUAGCAGUUGUUUUUUUAUUCUUUCUUCGGAAAAAUGAAGUAUAUUAUUUUUGACGUAUUUUUUAUUUCUACGGUUGAAUCACAGAGCACUAUUUAUAUACAACCGCGUGCUGGGAGCCAAAGUCCACGGCGCUGUUCGUACUUCAGUGCUGCUACUAUUUAUUUUUUUCCGUUCGAUUGGAUUUGAAGAUUUGUUUGAUUUCACGAGGACACAGCACAGACUGUGGGAGAUUCUACCUGUAAAUCGUAGUUUAGGUAAAGUAUCAAACAUUCAUCUCUUUGAAGAGUUUCCAAAAUGAGAACUUUUCAAAAUUGACAUCAUGGUAAAAUCUUGCGAUUUUGAACACCGAGUGAUCCAAUGCCUUCGGAAUCGGCCGACGAUUUCUGAUGGACGCACUUUGUAUUUAAAAGAAAUGGCUGCCGUUAUUUUAUUUUGUUCCCGAGAUUUACAAAACUUUCGGAGACAAACUCAUCAUGGAAGGUAGCCGAUAGCUGAACCCUAACGCACUGAAACGAGCGCCUGAUUAUGGUUCCUCACCGAAGCCGUCCAGUCUUCCCCCAAGACAGCCAAAUGCUGGUGUCCCUGUUUUGAUCUCCUUUUAUAUCCAUUCUAGUAUUUCAAUAUUUAAUCACGUAGGGCAAACCUCGACACGCAGGAUGAGAUUCCGUUUAUUUUAUUUCUAUCGGUGAUUCAAAUGCCCCGCAAAACGCGGGCAGUUAUUUUUUUACCUUUUUAGUUCGAGCAUGCACUUCUGCAAGUCCUUUCUGCUUUUUAAGUUCGCCAACCAAUCACGGUCUGUGUACGGAGACGGAGGUGCGGAGGCGGGCGAAAAACAAUGCUUGGUGCUUUGUUACCGUGAGGACGACACCUCUGACGCGAUGGAGAUAUCUAGUCUGCGCUGUUUGAAACUGUAAAAAGAAACAUAAAAAAAAAAAAAGCCCGGACAUGGAAAUGGUUAUUUAUGUAUGUACAGUUUGCUAAUGCUGAAAUCAUGAAGAAUGUUCUUUACAUAUAGUAAAAAAAUAUAUAAAAUACA
ensembl:lncRNA